rnacentral:rRNA from 1 species
GAUGAACGCUGGCGGCGUGCCUAAUACAUGCAAGUCGAGCGAACGGACGAGAAGCUUGCUUCUCUGAUGUUAGCGGCGGACGGGUGAGUAACACGUGGAUAACCUACCUAUAAGACUGGGAUAACUUCGGGAAACCGGAGCUAAUACCGGAUAAUAUUUUGAACCGCAUGGUUCAAAAGUGAAAGACGGUCUUGCUGUCACUGAUAGAUGGAUCCGGGCUGGAUUAGCUAGUUGGUCAGGUAACGGCUUACCAAGGCGACGAUGCAUAGCCGACCUGAGAGGGUGAUCAGCCACACUGGAACUGAGACACGGUCCAGACUCCUACGGGAGGCAGCAGUAGGGAAUCUUGCGCAAUGGGCGAAAGCCUGACGGAGCAACGCCGCGUGAGUGAUGAAGGUCUUCGGAUCGUAAAACUCUGUUAGUAGGGAAGAACAUAUGUGUAAGUAACUGUGCACAUCUUGACGGUACCUAAACAGAAAGCCACGGCUAACUACGUG